UCAAACUUGGUCAUUUAGAGGAAGUAAAAGUCGUAACAAGGUUUCCGUAGGUGAACCUGCGGAAGGAUCAUUAACGUAUCUCUGACGGCUCGGGCGUGCCCUGCUCCGGCCGGAAUGGCCGUGCAGCGGGUGCUCCCGAGACGCUCAACCUCUGCAAACCCCACCGUGCACCUUUGUCGGCAGAGGGCCCAGCGCCCCGAGCCGGAUCGCAAACCCCUGAAUUGUAAAGAACGACAAGCGGACAGCGUGCCGCCUAAACUAUUAACAACUUUCAACAACGGAUCUCUUGGCUCUCGCAUCGAUGAAGAACGCAGC
rnacentral:misc_RNA from 1 species